CACUACAUUUCUGUUUAGCUCGUGGAACUAAGUGGAGGAACGAAAAACCAGCUAAAAAGAUGAAAGAAGAGAGCAGGAGGAGUUGGAGAAGCACACGAGAAGCAAUCGAACUGUGCAAAAAUGGGCGCAAGAUCAGCCAAGUCACAGAAA